rnacentral:rRNA from 1 species
UACGAAGGGGGCUAGCGUUGUUCGGAAUUACUGGGCGUAAAGCGCGCGUAGGCGGUUAUCUUUGUCAGAGGUGAAAGCCCGGGGCUCAACUCCGGAAUUGCCUUUGAAACGGGAUCGCUUGAGUCCGAGAGAGGAUGGCGGAAUUCCUAGUGUAGAGGUGAAAUUCGUAGAUAUUAGGAAGAACACCGGUGGCGAAGGCGGCCAUCUGGCUCGGUACUGACGCUCAGGCGCGAAAGCGUGGGGAGCAAACAGG